rnacentral:rRNA from 1 species
UACGUAGGGUGCAAGCGUUAAUCGGAAUUACUGGGCGUAAAGCGUGCGCAGGCGGUUUUGUAAGUCAGAUGUGAAAUCCCCGGGCUCAACCUGGGAACUGCAUUUGUGACUGCACGGCUAGAGUACGGUAGAGGGGGAUGGAAUUCCGCGUGUAGCAGUGAAAUGCGUAGAUAUGCGGAGGAACACCGAUGGCGAAGGCAAUCCCCUGGACCUGUACUGACGCUCAUGCACGAAAGCGUGGGGAGCAAACAGG